AAAUUGAAGAGUUUGAUCAUGGCUCAGAUUGAACGCUGGCGGCAGGCCUAACACAUGCAAGUCGAACGGUAGCACAGAGAGCUUGCUCUCGGGUGACGAGUGGCGGACGGGUGAGUAAUGUCUGGGAAACUGCCUGAUGGAGGGGGAUAACUACUGGAAACGGUGGCUAAUACCGCAUAACGUCGCAAGACCAAAGAGGGGGACCUUCGGGCCUCUUGCCA
rnacentral:rRNA from 2 species